CCUCAGAUCAGACGAGACUACCCGCUGAAUUUAAGCAUAUCAGUAAGCGGAGGAAAAGAAACUAACAAGGAUUCCCUCAGUAACGGCGAGUGAAGCGGGAAGAGCCCAGCACCGAAUCCCCUGGUUCUGCGCUAGCGGGAAUUGUGGUGUUUUGGACGCCUAUCGGCGCUGUGUCCCUGUGCCCAAGUCCUUCUGAUCGGGGCCUUUCCCAUAGUGGGUGUCAGGCCUUUAGCGGCACGGGACUAGGCGUCCUUGAGCGUCCUUGGAGUCGGGUUGUUUGGGAAUGCAGCCCUAAGCGGGUGGU
rnacentral:rRNA from 1 species